UACGUAGGGUGCAAGCGUUGUCCGGAAUUAUUGGGUGUAAAGAGCUUGUAGGCGGUUUGUCGCGUCUGCUGUGAAAAUCCGGGGCUCAACCCCGGACUUGCAGUGGGUACGGGCAGACUAGAGUGUGGUAGGGGAGACUGGAAUUCCUGGUGUAGCGGUGAAAUGCGCAGAUAUCAGGAGGAACACCGAUGGCGAAGGCAGGUCUCUGGGCCACUACUGACGCUGAGAAGCGAAAGCAUGGGGAGCGAACAGG
rnacentral:rRNA from 1 species